rnacentral:lncRNA from 1 species
UUUCGUAGCAGAUGUUGAUUUUGAUUACGUUUAAAGUUUUUCUAGAUGAUGUUUUCUGAAUUUUCUUCAUUCAUUCAUCAUGAUACACAAACAAUCGUUAUUUUAUUAUGUUAUUGUUUAUAAAAAAAGAUUGUACAUUUUCGCAAAAAGUGCAAAUGUGUUUACCUCUUCUUAUUUACCAUUUUGCUUUACUUAUAUAAAGUUACGCUCGCUACCUUCGC